rnacentral:rRNA from 1 species
GAUGAACGCUGGCGGCGUGCCUAAUACAUGCAAGUCGAGCGAACAGACGAGGAGCUUGCUCCUCUGACGUUAGCGGCGGACGGGUGAGUAACACGUGGAUAACCUACCUAUAAGACUGGGAUAACUUCGGGAAACCGGAGCUAAUACCGGAUAAUAUAUUGAACCGCAUGGUUCAAUAGUGAAAGACGGUUUUGCUGUCACUUAUAGAUGGAUCCGCGCCGCAUUAGCUAGUUGGUAAGGUAACGGCUUACCAAGGCAACGAUGCGUAGCCGACCUGAGAGGAGGAUCGGCCACCCUGGAACUGAGACACGGUCCAGACUCCUACGGGAGGCAGCAGUAGGGAAUCUUACGCAAUGGGCGAAAGCCUGACGGAGCAACGCCGCGUGAGUGAUGAAGGUCUUCGGAUCGUAAAACUCUGUUAUUAGGGAAGAACAAAUGUGUAAGUAACUAUGCACGUCUUGACGGUACCUAAUCAGAAAGCCACGGCUAACUACGUG